rnacentral:rRNA from 1 species
CCUACGGGUGGCUGCAGUAAGGAAUAUUGGUCAAUGGACGCAAGUCUGAACCAGCCAUGCCGCGUGGAGGAUGAAGGUCCUCUGGAUUGUAAACUUCUUUUAUUUGGGAAGAAACUCCCGAUUUCCAUCGGGAUUGACGGUACCAGAUGAAUAAGCACCGGCUCACUCCGUGCCAGCAGCCGCGGUAAUACGGAGGGUGCAGGCGUUAUCCGGAUUCAAGGGUUUGUAAGGGGGCAGGUAUGUCAGUGUAGAAAUCUCCGGGCUUAACCCGGAAACUGCCAUUGAUACUAUUUGUCUUGAGUACUCGGGAGGUGAGCGGAAUAUGUCAUGUAGCGGUGAAAUGCUUAGAUAUGACAUAGAACACCCAUUGCGAAGGCAGCUCACUACGGAAAUAUUGACGCUGAGGCACGAAAGCGUGGGGAGCAAACAGGAUUAGAUACCCGUGUAGUC